rnacentral:tRNA from 1 species
CGUGUGCCUGCCGUACGGAACGGGUGCCGCGUUCGCCGCGGCCGUCGCGAUCGGGCUCGCGGUCGGGCUGUUCAACGGCGCGCUCGUC